UCUCAACCCAGGAUUUUAAUACCAAAGGCUUGUGGGAUGUCUGGAGACACACGUGGAGACUUGGCUGCUUCUAGAAGCAGAUCACAUGCUCCUUCUACAGCUCAUCCCGCCUGACAUAUGCCGUUCCUGUCUGGACGCCAGCGUCGGCUGCUUGCUAAGAGAUCAGUCUUGAGGAGAAGUGUUUUUCAUUCGUCCUUCUGGAGCCAACACAUCCCUGGAAGCCUUCCCGAGUCGCCCUCCCAUUCUUGCAGUGAGUGUGAGCCACACGAGCAGUUCUGACCUGCACUUGGAGCUGGGAUGGUGGGUGAGCAGUUCUCCUUGGCACAAGCCCCCAUCAUGGACGUCAGGGUCAUGGUCGGCACCCCGCUGCCACCUGAGGACAGAGCAGCAGACAGUGAAGAAGGUGAAGACAGCCUGUUCUGGAGGUCGGGGAGCGAAGCCCGGUACCCCUCAGCUGUGUUUAGUUCAGGACUAGGACCCUUUUUGAGAUUUUGGAGGGGUAUGCAUUGUGUGACAGCAGUCCGCCCUUUUAACUGACACAUUUAAAAAUAUUUACAACUAUGACACAGAUCUGAAUCCCCGAGCUUGGAGUGCCUGUGUUCUCAACCACUCAGGCUGGUCAGAUGGAGUCAAUGACUCAAACUGAAGAGUCUUGGGAAUAUACAAUUUACAAUUCACAGGUAUUACAGAAGUUUUCUUUUCACAAAUUCUUUAAAAAAAUAUUAUGAGAGGGGCCAGGCGGUGACACACCUAGUUAAAUGCUCACAUUACAGUGCACAAGGAGCUGGGUUCAAGCCCUUGCGUGCCACCUGCAGGGGAAAAGCUUUAUGAGCAGUGAAGCAGGGCUGCAGGUGUCUCUGUCUCCCUCUCCCCUCUCAAUUUCUCUCUGUCUGUAUCCAGUAACAAAAAUAAAAUCAUUAUGAGAGAAAAACAGAGGUAGGGAGAGAGAACACACUGUUCAGCUCUGGCAUGUGUGGCGUGUAGAUUAAACCUGUGGCUGCUGGGCCCUCAGACAUGCAUGCAAGAUGGUGCAUGGAAAUGGCUGAGGUGACUUCCCAGGCCCCAAAAGUGGAGGUUUGGGGGGCUAUUUAUGUAUGAGGUUUUCCUUCAGAUACUGAUGCCUGCAAGAAAUGUGACAUUUAAAGGAGAAAUGCCUCUAAGAAAUGUGACGUUUAAAGGAGAAAAGGGCAGGAACAGAGUCUGUUCCUGUGCAUAGAGUCUAGCUGUGAUGCCCCAUUAUACAACGGCUGUAUUCUCUGCUUCAGUCACUAAGCCUUAGUAGUAGGUCUGAAUGCCAUGUAAGUGGCUCUUAGCUUUAAGCAAGAUGCCACCAUACAUCACUGACUUUGAAAUUAAAUGCCUGUUGAAAGCAAGAAAUGAUAUUGUCUAGGAGCCUGCAGAUGGCUCACUGACUACAGCAAAUGCCUUCCGUACACAGGGCUCUGGAUUUGAACCCUAGCGCCACGGUUAUAACAUGGGGAGCUCCAUGAGUGGUGGAGCAGGGCUGUAGUGUCUCUCUUCUUCUCUAUCUCCUCCCUCCUCAAUAAACAAUGAAAAGGCUGGGAAGCAGUGGAAUUUCUUCUACUCACAGUCCUGCUACCACAGGAAAAGCAGUGGGAUUAGCCAGAGAAAAGUCAAAGGCAGAAUAUGGUAUCUACCCAGCAAAGCGGGGAGAGAGGUGGACAGAGCAACAGUGAUACAAUUCAGUCAAGACUGCAACAGGGUGUGGUAGCAUCAAGCAUAAUAAACUGAAAACUCAAAGUAUAAAGUGGGCUGGAUGGUGGAGUGCCUGGUUAAGGGCACACAUUACAGUGCUCAAGGACUCAGGUCAGGUUCAAGUCCCUGGUCCCCACCUGCAGGGAGAAAACUUCACAAGUGGUGAAGCAGGACUGCAGGUGUCUCUCUCCCUCUCUCUAUCUCCCCACUUCCCUGUCAAUUUCUCUGUCUCUGUCCAAUAGUGAAUAAUUAAACAAAAAAACUCAAAGUAUGAUGGAAAGAAUCUACCUCCCACCUCUAGAGUGGCAAUGAGGGUAUGUGUGAGCUUUUAAACAAUAAAGAUAAACACCACACAGCAGCCGUGAUGGGCACACAUGAUGAAGGGAACCCCUCCAUGACAACAUUGGUGGUUUUUUUCCCCAUGCACCAAGUGUCUAGCAAUCAGUGGUCUCCAUGUCAAUGUAUAAAUCAUUGAUGGUUGUCAAUUAUUUAAGCAUUACAGGAUGUGCUGUGAGGGACUCUAGAGUGAUGCCCUUGAGGAGACAGGAACAGCAGAAGACAGAAGUGGCAAAGCCAUCAGCAUGCACUAAAAGUAUCUUCUGGAACAGUCUGCAGUCCUGGUAGUCUGAGCUUUUGGUCAUACACAUACACAUAUGACAGCUCUGACUCAGACAGCCUCAUGGAACAGAACAGCACACUCAGGAGCCCUUAGUGGCUGAGAACAUGCUGCCUGAGAAAGGAGCAGGUGCCCCCAUGAGUGUCUGUCCGCCAUCUUGCUCAUGAGCUGCACCCUGUCCUCUCUGCCACCCAGGAGAGCCUCACCUGCCGUAGGUGUCCUGUUUUUCAGCCUGUCUACCUCCAUGGUGAAGUCGUCCUUGAGGAAGAGGAAGCCAAUGAUGGAGAACAGGUAGACCAGGAUGAGGGCCAGGACGGCUGUGAGGAUGAUGGAGCGACCAUUCCGCGUGACACUCUUGAUGACGUUGAGCAGAGUCUCUUCUCUGUACACCAGGUCGAACAGCUGCAGGAGGAGGCAAGGCAGAUGGUAGCAGGGUCACAGAAUGCACGGAUGGACUCUGGAUCAUUUGGACUUGUUGUCCGUUGGAACCGCCGUACAUGCCCGAUGGAAGCCCAUGGCUGCAGCCUUUACACACACACCUUUCAUUAGCCUGUCCCAGUGCCGAGUUCAGUACUCACAUUA